GAUGAACGCUGGCGGCGUGCUUAACACAUGCAAGUCGAACGGACAAGAUGAAGCCUAGCGAUUCUUGUUAGUGGCGGACGGGUGAGUAACGCGUGGGUAACCUGCCUCACACUGGGGGAUAACAGUUAGAAAUGACUGCUAAUACCGCAUAAGCGCACAGCUUCGCAUGAAGCAGUGUGAAAAACUCCGGUGGUGUGAGAUGGACCCGCGUCUGAUUAGCUAGUUGGUGGGGUAACGGCCUACCAAGGCAACGAUCAGUAGCCGGCCUGGGAGGGUGAACGGCCACAUUGGGACUGAGACACGGCCCAA
rnacentral:rRNA from 1 species